GCACAAUUUGCGAGUGCUAGCUGUGUAGCAACGAGUAUACUACCAUUAAUUGUCUGGGAGUUUUGAUACGAUUCUAAUCAAGCUGAAUACUAAUAUUAUGCCCAGUGAAAACACGUCGUUGUCUAAUUGCUAUAAUCGUGGCUGUGGGCAGAAAUUCGAUCCUCGAGACAACAAGCCAGAUUCUUGCACGUUCCAUCCGGGAGCUCCAUUUUUCCAUGAUGCUUACAAGGGAUGGUCGUGUUGUAAGAAAAAAUGUACGGAUUUCACGGAAUUCUUGAACAUAAAGGGGUGCACGAGGUCCUACCACAGCGACGUGAAGCCUCCCGAGCCGGAGAGGCCGGUGGUCGAUAAGUCCACUGCGGACGAGGUGAUAGAAGUGAAGGCCCCGAGACAGCCCGUACCAGAGCCUCUGGCGAGAUCUUCGUUCGACACCCCUCUGGUGACGCUCCGGACGGAGGUGUCCCCGGGACUGUCGCAGGAGCUCCAGCGACUGGUCCUGUCCCCCCGGGACCCGGCGGGGGACGCUAAGGGCGACGGCGCGACCCCCGUCGGCACCAGCUGCAAGAACAACAGCUGCAAGGCCACGUACGAGGGCCCGGACUCGAACGCCGCCACCUGCCGGCACCACCCUGGCACCCCGGUGUUCCACGAGGGCCUCAAGUUCUGGUCGUGCUGCCAGCGACGCACCACGGACUUCAACUCCUUCCUGGAGCAGGAGGGCUGCACUUCCGGCUCUCACGUGUGGCUCAAGGAGAAGACUGCGGAGCAGAGGCAGCGCGUGAGCUGCCGCUACGACUGGCACCAGACGGGGGGCUUCGUGGUGGUGUCGGUCUUCGCCAAGAGGUACGACCCGGCCCGGUCCCAGGUCGAGGCGAGCCCCGUCCGGCUGCGGAUACACCUCUUCUUCCCCGAGGAGGAGGGCUCCUUCGACCUGGACGUCGAGCUGCGAGGGGUUGUGGACGUGGGCGGCAGUAGCGCCAACAUGCUGCCCUCGAAGCUGGAGGUGAAGCUGCGCAAGGCGGAGUCCGGGUCCUGGCCCGCGCUGGAGUUUGCACGGCCGUCAGCGCGGCCGCCCUCCCCCGCCGCGCCGCGGCACUCUCCCGAGGGCACGGCCGACGAUCUCGUAGACCUCAGCGACCUGUGAGGGGCCCGGUCUGCCGUCACGCCCGGUAUCCCCGUGGAAAUGGGCCACAUCAAACUUUAAUAUCUUCAACUCAUCAGUAUUGAAAAUAUUAAAUAUUCAUGGGAAAAGAUUCAAAGAAAAAUAUUGAAAAAUAUUCAAAAAUUCAUCACUAACAAGUCUGAAGUUUACAAGCCGCUGGAUGGGGAUGUCGCCGAUGGUCUCGGUGAAGAAGAGGCGCUCGACGGUGGCGCGCCGCACCGCCCGCAGUCCCGGCACCAGCAGCAGCAGGCGGCCGAAGCGGGUCGGCUGGCGCGGGUGGCGCGACCGCACGUAGUCGCCCAGGAUGCACUGCGCCUGGUCCUGCAGCAUCUCCACCGGCUGCACGUCGCACAGCCCCGGCGUCUCUGUCACACGUGCACCAGCUGCAGUUGCCCGGGCUCUCCGCCAAGUGUCGAGGAUUCAUUCACAGAGACGUGACGUCUGAUAAAUCGAUGAACGCCGGCUGCACGCACGAAAACGUGUCCCAUCACGCUCAUUGUCCCGUUACACUCGUCGUUCCGUUACGCUGUCGGCGAGUGCAGUAAUAAUAGGUUAUGUUACAAUUUACUAAAAAAUUAUGGUGAUUCAUAUAAGUUAAUUGAUGAUAGAUAUUUGAUUAUGAUAGAUAUUUCAUUUCAGUUUAUUUAUGUGAAAACUUGUUCAUAAUUACAUUUAAACUUUAUAGCUGAACGCCAGUUGUUUUAAAAAUUAAUUACAAGUCAUCUACAUGUGAACUGUUUCGUCGACUGUCUAUAAAGUUGAAGUUAAAAAGUUUUAGUGGUUUUCAUUGCUUAUUUCAACAAUAAUUUCGGCAAUAAAGGUUAAUUAUUCUUGCAUUUUGAAAAUCUGAUUACUAGUAUAAUUUCAAGUAUUUAUUCUUUUAUUAUUAAAAUAAAAAUGAUUCAAUUUUAUUCAUGAAAGUAUGCAAUCAUUUCAUCAAUGUUUUGUUAUGACGUCACGUUUUUUUUUUACCACGCAUUAAUAAUAGAUUUUAUUUUGUUGGAGAACCAGCAAACAUACUUUUUUUUCAAUAUUUAUUUUGAAUAUUUUAUUGCAAAGUUUCCGUCUGGAGCGUUCAAAGAUUUAGACAUUAAUUUCCGUCUUAUUUUUAACAUUGAGUGUGCAAAAUAUCAAGCAGUACCAAGAUCCUGCUUUAAGCAGUGUAGACAGUUGACCUGCCUUCUGUUUUGAAGGUCGAGUGAGUAAAACUGAAGACAUGUAUAAAAAAAAAACCACAGAGAUUCUUCUUUGUACAUAUAUAUUGUUUAAUGUUUUGUGAAACAUGUAUUAAGUAUGACUUGUGUAAUUGUAUAUGUUUAAAACAAAAUUAUUGCAACAAAAGCUUAAAUUCAAAAUGAUAAUUAUCCUUCACCUGUAAUGUCAACACCACGUCGUGCGAUGCUUUGUUACUGAUACAGUACUUUCAGAUAUCUGAUCAAAAAAAAAUUACUGCAAAAAAAGUAGCCUAGGAAAGGCACCCUUAUGGCAAGAGUAACACUACUCAGUUGACCUGCCUGUGAGAUGGGCAAGUGUGAUGGACCUAUGGGAAAUCAGAUUCCAGAUCCGCUGGGUUUCAACGCAGGUUGCCUUGUAAAAGUGUAGCCAGUCAGGCUACGAGCACUGUUUAUCAUCACUGAGCGGUUAAAUUUGAGCAGAAAUGUAAUCAAAGGACUAUUUUAGGAUUAUACUAGCUGCCCUGUGGCAAAAUUUAACAACAAAGUACCCUUGAAGCCAACGGUGAACCUCUGUGGUGUUGGUUCGGAAAGUACCAUAAAACGGUUUGUAGCAUUAUAUUUUCAAACGUAAAAUAACAGAAAAAAAUUAUACAUUGUUUAAAUAGUUCUAUGUAUAAUUCUUUUCUGCUAUAUUAUGUUUCAAAAUAUGUCAGAAUCUUUUGAUCCUAUUCAUCCCUCUGAUCCUAUUCACCACGUUUUACGGUAUUUUCGAAUAGGAUUAAUUUGGUUUUACCUGGCGUGAAGAGGAUAACAGCCUUCAUGCAGCCGCACUCGCUGCCGUCUGGCGACAGCUGGCGAAACCUUCCCAUGAUCUCCUGCGUACAAAAAAUAGGUAAUGUACUGUAUAAUAUAUGUAUGGUAGGUACUGCUAUAGCAGCACAGAUUUUCCUCUUCCAGUAAUCAGAAUACUUGUGCUUUUUGUGGCCCACUAAGAGCUUGAAAUUUAAUUAAAUAGUUUUAUAAUUUUUUUAAGUAGAUUCACGCAAAUUCAAUAAAAAUAAAAACUUGGUACUAACCGCUAUCUUUCUUAAAUAUACUUAUAUUGUCUAUACUUCUAUUGUCUAUACUUCACAAUAUAACUUCACAAAAUGUAUAUAUGUUAUAAGCCCAAAUUAUUCUUGUAAUGUUCAGAACCGUGCUUACGAUAACGGCUCAAAAUGAGUCGACCGUACUAGAUGGCGACAACAGUAGUUAGGUAAAUGUAAAACUCACUUGGGCAAGUAACGACUCAAUGGAUGGCUUAUGAGUACACCUAAGACUAGUCAGUUUAGCUUCAUGCAGGUGGGCCUUGGAUAAAUUUCAUGAUUUAUAUAAAACUGGAAUAUUUUAUAAUCAGCAUGUUUUGAUAUGUCAUGAUAAAUUAAGUACUUUAAAAUUAUUAACAAACUGUCCUAUCAAAAUACACAUUUGAUACACGUCUUUAAAAGGUUAACAUCAUUAUAAUAUAUCGUGUCCAUCAUUGUCAUGAAUUCUGAUGAAGAGUAAUGAGAUGUGAAUGGAGUUAAUGAUGGAAAGGAUGGGUGGAG